AUGAAGAGUAAGAAUACUGGCACUACUGAUUUGAGAGCUUUCAUGAAAAGAGUUGCUGCAAAAAGAAAACAACCUGAACCAACGAGUGCUACCCCAUCUUCCAAUGAAAGUCAGAUGCAAUUGGUAAUUUUUGAAGGGCAAAGUGGUAGUGAGACACACACAAUACCACCUGAACCUGAGAGAGCUCCUCAGACAGAGGCCCCAAUAGCAGAAGAUGAUGAUGAAUCUAUGGCCCUAGAUGAAUCUGAUUCUAGUGAUGAGGAUAGUGAUGAUGACAUUUAUAACAUCGAGCCUGAUCCUGGGUUGAGGACUCCUAUCUCAAGCUAUGAUGUUAAUGAACGAGAUUCAGUUAGAAGGGCCUACAUUGCAUUGGGACGAUGUAAACCAAAGAUGCGGAAGAAAGAUUUUCCGCAACAUGACUGCGGAGGUAAGCAUCGCUUCCAACCGGCUUGGUUUGAUGAGUAUAAGUGGCUUGAGUAUAGUGUGGAUAAAGAUGCUGCAUAUUGCUUUUUUUGCUAUUUGUUCAAAGAUAGUACUAAAUUUGCUGGUGGAGAUAGUUUUGUUAAUGGAGGGUUCAGAAAUUGGAAUAUGAAAGUGAGAUUUCGUAAGCAUGCUGGUGAGGUAAAUAGUGCUCAUUGUGAAGCCGAAGAGAAAUAUAAUUUGUUCAUCAAACCUAAAGCAUCAAUCCGUGAGGCCAUUUCCUCACAGACCACACAGUACAAGGCUGAGUAUCUAGCUCGAUUAAAAUGGUCACUUGAGUGCAUAAAAUUUAUUUUGCAUCAGGGGUUGGCUUUUCGUGGUCAUGAUGAGGGAAAGGAUUCUAAAAAUAAAGGAAAUUUCUGA
rnacentral:rRNA from 1 species